AUUGAACGCUGGCGGCAGGCCUAACACAUGCAAGUCGAGCGGAUGAAGGGAGCUUGCUCCUGGAUUCAGCGGCGGACGGGUGAGUAAUGCCUAGGAAUCUGCCUGGUAGUGGGGGAUAACGUCCGGAAACGGGCGCUAAUACCGCAUACGUCCUGAGGGAGCAAGUGGGGGAUCUUCGGACCUCACGCUAUCAGAUGAGCCUAGGUCGGAUUAGCUAGUUGGUGGGGUAAAGGCCUACCAAGGCGACGAUCCGUAACUGGUCUGAGAGGAUGAUCAGUCACACUGGAACUGAGACACGGUCCAGAGUCCUACGGGAGGCAGCAGUGGGGAAUAUUGGACAAUGGGCGAAAGCCUGAUCCAGCCAUGCCGCGUGUGUGAAGAAGGUCUUCGGAUUGUAAAGCACUUUAAGUUGGGAGGAAGGGCAGUAAGUUAAUACCUUGCUGUUUUGACGUUACCAACAGAAUAAGCACCGGCUAACUUCGUG
rnacentral:rRNA from 1 species